CGCACGUCAAAGCCGGGCUCGGUCCGGGAGCGGGGCGCGGGGAUCGGGGAGCGGCGCGGCCUGGGAGACACAGAGCCUUCCGGAGCCGGGGCAAGGGCGAGGGUGAAGGCGAAAGCGGCGCCGGGCCCCGCAGAAGCAGCCGCAGCCUGAGCAAGCACAGCAGCUCGGCGGCCGCCGCGGGAGCUCCUGGGCCGCCGUCCGCCCGCGCAACCGCCGCCGCCGCGGGAGCCCGUCGCCGGGAGCAGGAGCGGACAGAAGACAACGGAGGAGCCAAGCGCCCGAGCCGCGCCGCGGGGACCGAACGAGCAGCCCGGGGCGGCAGCGGCGGAGGACGGGGACGGCGACGACGUGGAGAGGAAGCCGGCCAGCCCAGCCCUGUAGAGUAGGCAGAGGGCCGCAGAGGCCUCUGGCACGGCCGUCAUGCCGUGCCCGUGUGGGAAGUCUCACAAAUCUCCGGCAGACAUUGUGAAGAACCUAAAGGAAAGCAUGGCUGUUCCGGAAAAGCAAGACAUUUCUGACAAAAAAGCAGAGAAGGCUACAGAAGAAGUUUCCAAAAAUCUGGUCGCUAUGAAGGAAAUUCUAUAUGGUACAAAUGAAAAAGAGCCACGGACAGAAGCAGUGGCUCAGCUUGCUCAGGAGCUAUAUAACAGCGGCCUCCGGCACCCUGGUAGCUGAUUUGCAGCUCAUUGACUUUGAGGGCAAAAAAGACGUGGCUCAAAUUUUCAACAAUAUUCUCAGAAGACAAAUUGGUACAAGAACUCCUACUGUUGAAUACAUCUGCACCCAACAGAAUAUUUUGUUCAUGUUAUUGAAAGGGUAUGAAUCUCCAGAAAUAGCUCUAAAUUGUGGAAUAAUGUUAGGAGACUGCAUCAGACAUGAACCACUUGCAAAAAUCAUUUUGUGGUCGGAACAGUUUUAUGAUUUCUUCAGCUAUGUGGAAAUGUCAACAUUUGACAUAGCUUCAGAUGCAUUUGCCACAUUCAAGGAUUUACUUACAAGACAUAAAUUGCUCAGUGCAGAAUUUUUGGAGCAGCAUUAUGAUAGAUUUUUCAGUGAGUAUGAGAAGUUACUUCAUUCAGAAAAUUAUGUGACAAAAAGGCAGUCACUCAAGCUUCUUGGUGAACUACUAUUAGAUAGACACAACUUCACAAUUAUGACAAAAUACAUCAGUAAACCUGAGACCCUCAAAUUAAUGAUGAACCUUCUACGAGACAAAAGCUGUAACAUCCAGUUUGAGGCCUUCCACGUUUUUAAGGUGUUUGUAGCCAAUCCUAACAAGACACAGCCCAUCCUGGACAUCCUCAAGAACCAGACCAAACUCCUAGAGUUCCUCAGCAAGUUUCAGAAUGACAGGACCAAGGACGAGCAGUUUAACGAUGAGAAGACCUAUUUAGUUAAACAGAUCAGGGAUUUGAAGAGACCAGCUCAGCAAGAAGCUUAAUUUCCAAUAAAUAUCUAAAGUAUU